UGAAUGGAGGUCUGUGUUCAAGCUAGCGGACGUUUCACCUUCAAAAGGAAACCACCACGAGAAGAGCAAGCUCACGUGUUGCCUUUUUAUACAUCGUCACGUGACUACAAGAGCCAGCGGGGACUUCUGGGAAAUGUAGUGCUGUGACUCAAAGGCGGGAAGAGACGGAAACUAGCGAAACAAGCUCCACAAAUACAGAGACCAGAGCCUCUAUGAAUGCACAGCAGUGACAUCAUAAUUAUGGUCUUUAUCGGCCUUGACAGUUCAUGAUGGAGGAGGCAGAGUUUGUCCUGAAGGAGGUGGACAUUGCUGCAACUUUGGAGGCUGCCUGUUGUGAUGCUCCCUGAAGAGAUAGGCCCCCUGAAGGAGAAGAGGUGUAGAGCCACAGUCCUGACUGUUUGCCACCGCCACUUCCUGUCUGCACAAAGCAGCAUCUAGGAAAGCAUAAGUGUAAGUACUCUUUUUCUUGUUUGUCUCUUUCCCUUCGAUCAGUAUCAGCUGUGCAGUGAAUUAAUAUUCUCACAUGUACAUGAACUUCUCACACACCAACACACAAAACAACAGAGGGCAGCGCUCCAGAGAAAAUGGA